GUUGAUUUUUCUUUUUUCAUGCAUCCUGUCCUUUUUCAUGGGCCAAUUUACCAUAAUUUUCUAUCAUAUUUGGCUUAUCAUGAACACCUCCCGAAAGUAUUGUUAUGUUUUUGAUGAUUUAGGCCAUCGGUUGUGACGUUUACAAAGGUAAUUUACUUAUUGCUUGUGCUAAGAACUAAUGUUUCUUUCUUUGUGACUUUAGGGCAAGG
rnacentral:lncRNA from 1 species